rnacentral:rRNA from 1 species
AGAGUUUGAUCAUGGCUCAGGAUGAACGCUAGCUACAGGCUUAACACAUGCAAGUCGAGGGGCAGCAUUUCAGUUUGCUUGCAAACUGGAGAUGGCGACCGGCGCACGGGUGAGUAACACGUAUCCAACCUGCCGAUAACUCGGGGAUAGCCUUUCGAAAGAAAGAUUAAUACCCGAUGGUAUAAUCAGACCGCAUGGUCUUGUUAUUAAAGAAUUUCGGUUAUCGAUGGGGAUGCGUUCCAUUAGGCAGUUGGUGAGGUAACGGCUCACCAAACCUUCGAUGGAUAGGGGUUCUGAGAGGAAGGUCCCCCACAUUGGAACUGAGACACGGUCCAAACUCCUACGGGAGGCAGCAGUGAGGAAUAUUGGUCAAUGGGCGCAGGCCUGAACCAGCCAAGUAGCGUGAAGGAUGACUGCCCUAUGGGUUGUAAACUUCUUUUAUAUGGGAAUAAAGUUUUCCACGUGUGGAAUUUUGUAUGUACCAUAUGAAUAAGGAUCGGCUAACUCCGUGCCAGCAGCCGCGGUAAUACGGAGGAUCCGAGCGUUAUCCGGAUUUAUUGGGUUUAAAGGGAGCGUAGGUGGACAGUUAAGUCAGUUGUGAAAGUUUGCGGCCCAACCGUAAAAUUGCAGUUGAUACUGGCUGUCUUGAGUACAGUAGAGGUGGGCGGAAUUCGUGGUGUAGCGGUGAAAUGCUUAGAUAUCACGAAGAACUCCGAUUGCGAAGGCAGCUCACUGGACUGCAACUGACACUGAUGCUCGAAAGUGUGGGUAUCAAACAGGAUUAGAUACCCUGGUAGUCCACACAGUAAACGAUGAAUACUCGCUGUUUGCGAUAUACAGUAAGCGGCCAAGCGAAAGCAUUAAGUAUUCCACCUGGGGAGUACGCCGGCAACGGUGAAACUCAAAGGAAUUGACGGGGGCCCGCACAAGCGGAGGAACAUGUGGUUUAAUUCGAUGAUACGCGAGGAACCUUACCCGGGCUUAAAUUGCAUUUGAAUAUAUUGGAAACAGUAUAGCCGUAAGGCAAAUGUGAAGGUGCUGCAUGGUUGUCGUCAGCUCGUGCCGUGAGGUGUCGGCUUAAGUGCCAUAACGAGCGCAACCCUUAUCUUUAGUUACUAACAGGUCAUGCUGAGGACUCUAGAGAGACUGCCGUCGUAAGAUGUGAGGAAGGUGGGGAUGACGUCAAAUCAGCACGGCCCUUACGUCCGGGGCUACACACGUGUUACAAUGGGGGGUACAGAGGGCCGCUACCACGCGAGUGGAUGCCAAUCCCAAAAACCUCUCUCAGUUCGGACUGGAGUCUGCAACCCGACUCCACGAAGCUGGAUUCGCUAGUAAUCGCGCAUCAGCCACGGCGCGGUGAAUACGUUCCCGGGCCUUGUACACACCGCCCGU